UUAAAGUGUAAUUGUGUAUUUCUGUGCCCAACAUUUGACCGUCCAUCUUAUUUGAAUUUUUUCAUGAUUACUAUUUUUAUUGUUAGUAGAUGAUAAAACAUAAAUAAUACUUUAUGCGUGACUUUGUUUUUUUAAUUUUCUCAAAAAAUUUUCAAAUAAGACGUAUGGUCAAACGUUGGUCACGGAAAUCCGCAAACUGUAUUUAAA
rfam:Oryza rufipogon genomic scaffold, chr08